rnacentral:rRNA from 1 species
UACGUAGGGGGCAAGCGUUGUCCGGAAUCAUUGGGCGUAAAGCGCGCGUAGGCGGCCCGAUCAGUCCGCUGUAAAAGUCCAGGGCUCAACCCUGGAAAGCCGGUGGAUACUGUCGGGCUAGAGUCCGGAAGAGGCGAGUGGAAUUCCUGGUGUAGCGGUGAAAUGCGCAGAUAUCAGGAGGAACACCGGUGGCGAAGGCGGAUCUCUGGGCCUUACCUGACGCUGAGGCGCGAAAGCUAGGGGAGCGAACAGG